rnacentral:rRNA from 1 species
GACGAACGCUGGCGGCGUGCUUAACACAUGCAAGUCGAACGGAAAGGCCCUGCUUUUGUGGGGUGCUCGAGUGGCGAACGGGUGAGUAACACGUGAGUAACCUGCCCUUGACUUUGGGAUAACUUCAGGAAACUGGGGCUAAUACCGGAUAGGAGCUCCUGCUGCAUGGUGGGGGUUGGAAAGUUUCGGCGGUUGGGGAUGGACUCGCGGCUUAUCAGCUUGUUGGUGGGGUAGUGGCUUACCAAGGCUUUGACGGGUAGGCGGCCUGAGAGGGUGACCGGCGACAUUGGGACUGAGAGACGGACCAGACUCCUACGGGAGGCAGCAGUGGGGAAUAUUGCACAAUGGGCGGAAGCCUGAUGCAGCAACGCCGCGUGCGGGAUGACGGCCUUCGGGUUGUAAACCGCUUUCGCCUGUGACGAAGCGUGAGUGACGGUAAUGGGUAAAGAAGCACCGGCUAACUACGUG